CGUCUCCCCGGCCCAGCCCGGCCGCUCGCCCUGUCCGGUCUCUCCCCGGCCCCUUGAUUCUCCGCGUCUUCCUCGCAGGCCAGCCUAAGCUCAGCCUGCAUUGCGCCCUCCCGGCCUAGGGUGUCGCUGUACCGGCCUCCGAGCUCCACAUAGACAAGUCCGGACCUCGGGCGGGGGCAGGAGACGGAGCUGAGCGGCGGGGGGCAGUGUCGCCUCGGUCUAGGGACGGCGGCGGAGUCGGUGGUCCCUGCGCGAUGGCCACCUCGGUGUUGUGCUGCCUGCGGUGCUGCAGAGACGGGGGGACUGGCCACAUCCCUCUGAAGGAGAUGCCGGCCGUGCAGCUGGACACGCAGCACAUGGGGUAUUACUUAUGACCAUGUCGAAUUAAAUGUAUACUUGAAUGGAAAAAACAUGCAUUGUCCAGCAUCAGGUAUACGAGGGACAGUGUAUCCAGUUGUUUAUGUUGAUGACAGUGCAAUUUUGGAUUGCCAGUUCAGUGAGUUUUAUCAUACGCCUCCACCUGGUUUUGAAAAAAUAUUAUUUGAACAGCAAAUCUUCUGAAUGUAUUUGUUUUUAAAACUUGUAUUUCUGCACUGUUAAAAAAUGUUCAUCAUUUAAUAAAACUUUACCUGGCCUAUAGAUGAAAAUAUAUUCUUAAAAAUAUGCUUGUUGAUGCUGUCUAAGGAACCAAUGUAUUCAGUAUACCACCCUGAAGUUGUGAUUUAAAAUACUUUAUGUUUUGUGAAAUGAAAAUAAGCAUUUGGGCAGUUUAUUUAAUUCUUAUUUAAAUAAAUAGAAUUAUGGGUUUAAUUAACAGUAUAACAUGACUAUAUAUACAUAUAUAUUUAAAGGGAAUUCUUUCUUACAUAAUAUAUUUGUUUUGAUAGAGAUGUAGAGUUGGGUGGGUGUUUUUGUCACUCUGAAGUUUAGACCUCAUUAAAUAUUUGACAUCUACAGUUGGAUAAUUUUGCCGCUUAGUGUCCUUUUUUAUAUACAAUAUAACAAAGUGAGAGAAAUUUAUAUUACUGGCAAUUUCAUUUUUGGCAGUCUAUUUCUGUAUCAUGUACCGCUUUUCUUAAAACUUAAAUUGCUUAUUUUGUUGUGUAAUGUCAUUGCUUUUGAUUUGCUUUGUGAAAGGAGAUAAACGUUUCAGUAAUUGUCAGAGCAUUUUGUUGCCUCAGGCUGUGUUACCUCAAUUUCAGAGUAAGUAGUGGUUGAUUAGUAAUGUAGUAUACACUGGCAGACAUCUAGAAUAGUAUGAUGCUUUACAUUUAAAUGAGGUUAUUCUUUUAAGGACUUUUAUUUGUAUGUUUUCUGUAAGGAAUAAUAAAAUAAUUGUAAUUAAGGAAUAUACCAUACUAUAUUAAACACAUUCUUCCUAUUUUGUUAGUUAUACACUAAAUUCACAUCACCCGUGAUUAUUUCAGUUCAGAGAUAAGUGAAUCCUCUUCAUGACCCUGAGUCUUUGCCUGGUUCUUAAGAAUCACUGUCCUUUAGUUAACGCCCUGUGACCUGAACCAAUCACUCUAUACAUCUUUAGAUACGUUGUCUGUUUUCAAAUGAGCAUGGCAAGGAUGCAUACAUUUCCCUCCUUUAUCAACUAGAAACAGUACAUUGUUCAGGAAAACAUGAGUGUUAGAAUUAGAAAGAGAUCCAAAUUGUAGUUUUGCUGCUCAUCCUAUUUUCUCCUCUCCAAGUCUCAGAUUCCCAUUUAUAAAAGGAGCAAUCAUACUGACAUAAGAUUCUAUGAUUAAAUAAGGUAAUACAUAUAUAACACCUUAAUAAUCAUAGGCACUUGCGCCAGGCGCGGUGGCUCACACCUGUAAUCCCAGCACUUUGGGAGGCUGAGGCGGGAGGAUCACAAGGUCAGGAGAUCGAGACCAUCGUGGCUAACAUGGUGAAACCCUGGCUCUACUAAAAAAAUACAAAAAAAAUUAGCCAGGUGUGGUGGCGGGCGCCUGUAGUUCUAGCUACUCUGGAGGCUGAGGCAGGAGAAUGGCUUGAACCCGGGAGACGGCGCUUGCAGUGAGCCGAGAUUGCCCCACUGCACUCCAGCCUAGGCAACAGAGUGAGACUCUGUCUCAAAAAAAAUUAAAAUAAAAUAAAAUAAAAAUCAUAGGCACUUAGUAAGUGUAGUUUCCUGGAUGGUAAAGUAUCAGGGAAAGUGGUUUUCUUUCUUUUUUUUUUUUUCUCGUUUUUUUUUUGAGACAGAGUCUCACCUUGUCACCCAGGCUAGAGUGCAGUGGCACGAUCUUGGCUCACUGCAACCUCUGCUUCCCAGGUUUAAGCGAUUCUCUUGCCUCAGCCUCCCGAGUAGGUGGGACUACAGGUGCCCGCCACCACGCCCGUGUAAUUUUUGUAUUUUUAGUAGAGAUGGGGUUUCACCAUGUUGUCCAGGCUGGUCUCAAACUCCUGACCUCAUGAUCCACCUCCCUCAGCCUCCCAAAGUGCUGGAAUUAUAGGCGUAAGCCACCACACCCAGCCAGAAAGUGGUUCUCAUGAUGCUUCUCAGACCGGCAACAUCAGCAUCACUGGAACUUGUUAAAAAUGGACACUCUCAGAACCCACACCAGACCCACCAAAUCAGUUUGAGAACUGCCAUUCAGUAGAGAAUUAUUUGCCUACUGUAAAUUUUCUAAGGAUUUAUGAUGGGCUAUUUUUGACCCAUAGGCUCAGAGAAUCCUGCAAAAUCCUUUUUUAUUGUUUAUUCUGCAGACAAAAAUGUGACAAUAUGCUUUGAAAACAUAGAUAUACUUGAGUAACAUUUAUUUACAUAAAUCCCAAAUUCUACCUCUGAAGGUAUAUGAAAUUUAACUAUGUAUGUAUUAUGCAUUUUGUCUGGCUUUCUAUCAUAAUUUUAAUUUGUAAAGAAUGUGCUUACUUGGGAAAGCAAAUUAAAGUGACUACUGUUUGCUAUC
rnacentral:lncRNA from 1 species